GACGUAGGGGGCCAGCGUUGUUCGGAAUUACUGGGUGUAAAGGGUUCGUAGGCGGUGUGGCAAGUCGGGGGUGAAAUCUCUGGGCUCAACUCAGAGACUGCUUCCGAAACUGCUGUGCUGGAGUGUGGGAGAGGCGCGUGGAAUUGCAGGUGUAGCGGUGAAAUGCGUAGAUAUCUGCAGGAACACCAGUGGCGAAAGCGGCGCGCUGGACCACUACUGACGCUGAGGAACGAAAGCUAGGGGAACAAACAGG
rnacentral:rRNA from 1 species